rnacentral:tRNA from 1 species
GUCCCAGUGUGGUAAUGGAUAUCCUUUGGGCUUGCGGAGCCCAAAAUCCGGGUUCGACUCCCGGCUGGGACG